AUUUGGUUUUUAGUUUUCUUUUCUGUAACCAAAAGCGUGUGGGAGAAUCACAGUAGGUGGUAGUGUUGGCCUGACCUCAACAGGCAGCAGUUGUUGACCGAGAAACCGUUCCAAGACUGGGACAAAGUGAGCAAAAUAGUGGUGUGUAAUCAAGCAGAACGUGUAUGCAACAUCUGAAAUUUACAGCCAACAAAAAGGUUGCUUGACUGCUUUCUACGCACUGCCAACUUUGGAGGACCAAAAAACCUAUGGGAAAUGCAACACGAUUCAGAAAAAUAGUUAUGCUGUUUCAAUGCUUAUGCUACAUGUUUAUACAAUGUAUUACGUUGACUUUUAUGCCUGAAAAUUUGGAAAUGUACACCAGAAUUCAAUAAGCAUGUACUUCUGGUUCUGGGUAGCAGUCUGGUCUGGCCUGUCUAUGUGUGCAGUGGGUAGCUAUCUCAAUUUAAUAAUAGCCUUUGACAAUUUGUUUCCUUUUGGUUUGUGAUCAUUUUUCUUUCUUUAAUUUCUAUCUGUUUUGACUGCAGCCAUGCUGGAGCACUGCCUUGAACGGUUUUAGCGAAACAAAUCAAGCCCAAGACAUUAUUUUUGUUUUCUUGUUGUUUUUUUAAGUCUGUUAUUUAUCCUAUUGGCCGUUUUGGGCUGACCACCAAGCUCUGGGGACAUAAACAAACCGAUACUGGUUAUCAAGUGGUAGAGGAACAGACAAGUGCAAAUACAGACACACACAUGCACAAUGGUUUUUAUUCUUAUAUUUUUUUACUUGUUUCAGUCAUUUGACUGCAGCCAUGCUGGAGCACUGCCAUCAGUCCAUCAAAUUGACCCCAGGACUUGUUCUUUCUAAGCCUAGCACUUAUUCUAUUGGUCUCUUUUGCUUAACUGCCAAGUUAUGGGGAUGUAAACACACCAACAUCGGUGGUCAAGCGAUGGGAGGGGCAAACACAGACACAAAUGCAUUGGGCCUCACCAAGGCAAUGACUAGUGACUGAGACCUUUGGAAUAUGCUGUGCUUGAGAAGACCCGGCAAGCCAAGUGAGACCAUAACCCGUGGCCUAUACCAGCGGUGUAACCAGCCUACUAAUGCUUUGCUUAUGAAGACCUGUUGAGGCAAGCAAAAUCACAAUCAAAAUCAAAUUUGCUGAUGUGGCUGACGACAGCACCGGCUGACUGGUACCCGUGCCAAUGAAACGUUAAAAGCACCAUCCGAGCAUGACCGUUACCAGGGUCGCUCAGUGGCACAUAAAAAGUACCAUUUGAGCGUGAUCAUUACCAGCGUCGCCUUAUUGGCACUUGUACUGGUGGUAGGGGAAAAACAACAUUCAAGCGAGGUCGUUGCCAGUGCCACUGGACUGGCUCCUGUGCAGGUGGUACAUAAAAAACACCAUUUGAGCGUGGCCGUCGCCAGUACCGCCUGACUGGCCCUUGUGCCGGUGGCACGUAAAAGCACCCACUACACUAUUUGAGUGGUUGGCGUUAGGAAGGGCAUCCAGCUGUAGAAACUCUGCCAGAUCAGAUUGGAGCUUGGUGCAGCUAUCUGGCUCGCCAGUCCUCAGUCAAACCAUCAAACCCAUGCCAGCAUGGAAAGCGGACGUUAAACGAUGAUGAUGAUGAUGAUAUAUAUUCAAAAUAAGCAACCGGAUAUCAUGUGGUAAUGCAGUUUCACCACUUGAACCAGUCAUACUGCAUUACUGCUAGAUAUCCUGUUGCUUAUCUUGAUUUUAUUCACCUCACUUUGAGCUGUGCAGAUAAUACCGGACUGACUUGGUGCUUCAACUUAAGUACCUAAUUCAACUGAAUCUCAAUUAUUUCUUACCUCGUCAACCAAACCUCUCUCUCUCUCUCUAUCUAUUUAUCUAUCUCUCUAUGUAUACACACACACACACACACACAAACACAUAUAUAUAUAUGUAUAUAUAUAUGUAUAUAUAUAUAUAUAGGCUUCUUUCAGUUUCCAUCUACUAAAUCCACUCACAAGGCUUUGGUCUGCCCGAGGGUAGAGUAGAAGACACUUGCUCAAGGUGCCACGCAGUGGGACUGAACCCGGAGCCAUGUGGUAGGGAAGCAAGCUUCUUACUACAGAGCCACUCCUUCGCCCGUCAUCCAAAUCUACUCCUGAGGCUUUGGUUGGCCCAGGGCUAAAGCAGAAGACACUUGCCUAAGGUGUCAUGUAAUGAGACCGAACUGGAAAACAUGCGGUUGGGAAGCAAAUUUCUUAUCACAUAUAAUAAUGAUAAUAAUUAUUAUUAUUAUUUCAAUGUUUUGCCACAACGGCAGCAACUUCUUGUUGUGGUUGUGGUGGUGGUGGUGGGGAAACAGUCUCGUAUACCGGCACUAGUAUUCAACUGGUACUUAUUUUACCGACUCCGAAGGGACGAAAGACAAAUGGUGACACCUGAACACAGAAAAGAAAAAGAACUAGAAUGCCGCCAAGCAUUUUGUCCGGUGCGGCAUGGAUUCUGCCAGUUCAUUGUUUAACAGCGGUCAGGUGUACGACAAGUCAUCGAUGAAGAUAAAAAGAAGCGGUAAGUGAAUAGACAAUAAGUCAAAUAAAGAAAGACAAUGAAGGCGAGAAGUACGUGGGAAGUACAUAGAAUAAAA